rnacentral:rRNA from 1 species
AUUGAACGCUGGCGGCAGGCUUAACACAUGCAAGUCGAGCGAGUGGCGGACGGGUGAGUAAUGUCUGGGAAACUGCCUGAUGGAGGGGGAUAACUACUGGAAACGGUAGCUAAUACCGCAUACCAUCAGAUGUGCCCAGAUGGGAUUAGCUUGUUGGUGGGGUAACGGCUCACCAAGGCGACGAUCCCUAGCUGGUCUGAGAGGAUGACCAGCCACACUUGAACUGAGACACGGUCCAGACGCCUACGGGAGGCAGCAGUGGGGAAUAUUGCACAAUGGGCGCAAGCCUGAUGCAGCCAUGCCGCGUGUGUGAAGAAGGCCUUCGGGUUGUAAAGUACUUUCAGCGAGGAGGCGUUACCCGCAGAAGAAGCACCGGCUAACUCCGUGCCAGCAGCCGCGGUAAUUC